UCGUUUUGUUUCUGUAAUUGUUAGUGUUAACUGUCCAUUGUCAGAAUCUAGGCUCAUAUGAGAGCUGGGCCUUGGCCAUGCUGUGGGAGGUCGUCUUGCUUAGGUUUACUAAGGCUGCUUCUGCUUUCACCCACUGCCGUGAUGGUGUGAGAUGGCCUCAGAAGCCAGGAGAGUGCUGGGCUCCUUGGAAGUGGAAUAAAGAAGCUAUGACCCACCGUAUGGAUUUCAGUAAGUCCAGACCUCACGGGUAUCACACAGAGGAAUGGACACCAAUAGAUUAGCCUGGUCUACAGAGUGAAUUCCAGGAUAGCCAGGACUAUACGCAUACGCGCGCGCGCACACACACACACACACACACACACACACACACACACACACACGCGCGCGCGCGCGCGCGCGCGCGCGCACAAAACCCAAAAACAGUAAGACAAAAACCCUGUCUCAAAAAAAAUGAACAUAUGAAUUCAAUCCUAAAAGAAGAGGUUUUGAGAUAGACCCUCCCUAAGUUGUCCAGGCUGACUUCCACCUCACUCUCCAGGGCAGGCAACCCACAAUCUUGGCAUUACCUGCCUCAGCCUCCCCAGGAACUAGAGCCGACUCGUGUCACUAGGUUUACAAAACUUUCUUUCGGGCUCAAGCAAAGCUUCUCCUGGGUCCAGGCAACUCUCUGGGCUUUUCUCCCACGUGAUGACGCAGUGUGACUCAGCAACCCAUGGGUGACUUCAGUGUGACUACCUAGGUGCUCCUGUCUUCCGUCGGUGAACUCCCCACACAGGGCCUCCCAGGAAGAGUGCAGCCUGGAGAGACUGCUGCUCAGAAGCCGAGGAAGGAAGUGGCGAUAUUCCAUUGGACAGGAUGAGUCACAUGGGCCUAACCACCGAAGAGUCAGGGACCAGAAUUUCCACGGACUCUAAUUCUAGGUCCUGAAAGAACUCUCCGGACACCGAAGUGUGCUGUCUCAGGACACCAAGGGGAUGUGACAAUCAGUUCUGACGCCAUCUACCUAAAGUCGAAGAUGAAAAUAACACCCAAUUAAUGAAACCUAUUAAAUGAGUAGCUAUAUACAGGUUUUUAUUACAGCAUCCCACCAAUAAAUGCUCUACCAAUGACUAUACUUUGACUGCUAAACGCACCCUCUUCUAACUACUGUUCUAGGGUUUUCUAUCGCUAUACAAUUAAAUAAUGUGUCUUUAUUUCUUUCCCCUAAACUCUGUCCCCCAACUCACAACUCCUCAACACUUCUAAGAUUUUUUUUUUUUUCGACUGAACUCAGGGGUUAGGCAAGAGCUCUACCAAUGAGCUAAAUCCCCAACCACUUCUAGGAUUUUACCCAACAAUUAUCCACUAUUUAUUUCCCAUAAGAAAAGCCAAAAUAUAGUAUCAGAACUGCUACCCUGAGGGCUCCAUCCCAAACCUCUACCCAUACUGGAUGCUGCUGCUCAUAAAGCCAAGCCACCUGCACCUCGGACUGACCACAAGUAAAUUAGAGUUCCCACAGUCCUCUCCUCAGGGUUAAAAACAGAUGGUCUAAAACAGAUCUGCACUGGGAUUGGGGAUUUAGCUCAGUGGUAGAGCGCUUGCCUAGCAAGCGCAAGGCCCUGGGUUCAGUCCCCAGCUCCAAAAAAAAGAAAAGAAAAAAAAAAAAAAAAAACAGAUCUGCACAACUAAGAAACACACUUAGCUUCUAUUUACUGGUUUAUUUAUUAUAUUCAGUAUAUAUCAUAUAUACAUACAUACAUAUGUGUGUGUGUGUGUAUAGACUGGUUUACUGGAGAAUUCUGUGUUAGUGUAGCAAAACUCAUACACAUUUGCUGUCAGAAAAGUACUGUGGAUGGAAACAGACCUUAGGGACUGGAGAGAUGGCUCAGCAGUUAAGAGCACUGACUGCUCUUCCAGAGGUCCUGAGUUCAAUUCCCAGCAAUGACAUGAUGGUUCAUAACCAUCUGUAAUGAGAUCUCACGCCCUCUAACAAUCAUCUGUAACUACACUUUUGGGAGAUCCACUGCCCUCUUCUGGCCUCCUCGAGUACUGCAGUCAUGUAGGGCAAAGCAUAGGAUGCAGGCAAAAUAAACAUGGUGAUGCGCAUCUUUAAUCCCGGCAGGCAAGUGAAUCUCUUAAAGACCAGCCUGCUCCGCUGAGCGAGUUCCAGGACGACCAGGGUUACACAGAAACAAAACAAAACAAAACAAAACAAA